UCGAACGCGAAAGUGGAGCAAUCCAUGAGUAGAGUGGCAAACGGGUGAGUAACGCGUGGGCGACCUACCUCAGAGUGGGGGACAACCUUCCGAAAGGAGGGCUAAUACCGCAUGACAUACCGUGUUUGGAUACACGGAUAUCAAAGCCGGGGAUCGCAAGACCUGGCGCCUGGAGAGGGGCCCGCGUCCGAUUAGCUAGUUGGUGAGGUAACGGCUCACCAAGGCUCCGAUCGGUAUCCGGCCUGAGAGGGCGGACGGACACACUGGAACUGAGACACGGUCCAGACUCCUACGGGAGGCAGCAGUGGGGAAUUGUUCGCAAUGGGCGCAAGCCUGACGACGCAACGCCGCGUGGAGGAUGAAGACUUUCGGGUCGUAAACUCCUUUCGACCGAGAUGAAUUUCCUGCGACCUAACACGUCGCAGGGGUGACAGUAUCGAGGGAAGAAGCCCCGGCUAACUCCGUGCCAGCAGCCGCGGUAAUACGGGGGGGGCAAGCGUUG
rnacentral:rRNA from 1 species